UGGGGAAUAUUGGACAAUGGGGGCAACCCUGAUCCAGCAAUGCCGCGUGUGUGAAGAAGGCCUUCGGGUUGUAAAGCACUUUUAUCGGGAAAGAAACACGCAGGGCUAAUACCUUUGCGGACUGACGGUACCCGAUGAAUAAGCACCGGCUAACUCCGUGCCAGCAGCCGCGGUAAUACGGAGGGUGCAAGCGUUAAUCGGAAUUACUGGGCGUAAAGGGUGCGUAGGUGGUUCGCUAAGUCCGUUGUGAAAGCCCCGAGCUCAACUUGGGAAUUGCAGUGGAUACUGGCGAGCUAGAGUGCGGUAGAGGAAGGUGGAAUUCCCGGUGUAGCGGUGAAAUGCGUAGAGAUCGGGAGGAACACCAGUGGCGAAGGCGGCCUUCUGGACCAGCACUGACACUCAAGCACGAAAGCGUGGGGAGCAAACA
rnacentral:rRNA from 1 species